rnacentral:tRNA from 1 species
GCCUCGGUGGCGUAGUGGUCAAGACGCUCGCCUGGUAAACAGGAGGGCGUGGGUUCGAUCCCAUUCGAGGUA